UGAUGACAGGGUUAGCAAAGAACAGUGGAGGUUAUUGGUGAAAUAUUGGGAGACUGGUCCAGCGCAGAAACGAUCAAUCACAAAUAAAUGUAAUCGUGCGAAGUGCAGGAUGCACCACACAACAGGGACAAAAUCAUAUGCCCAAGUGAGGAACCAAUAUAAGGUGAAUCACAGGGGUGUCUCCCCUGACAGAUGCAAAAUGUUUGAACUGUGCCACCUAAGAAAGAAUGGAACACCUGUGAAUGAGACAGCUGCAAAAGCUAUGG